AAGAUCUAUAUGAAUGGUGAUAAUCGGGGAAAUGGAACUCAUUUAUCUUUGUUUUUUGUUAUCAUGAAAGGUGAUUACGAUGCUCUACAAACAUGGCCAUUUUAAAAGAAGAUCACAAUAAUGUUAAUGGAUCAAG